rnacentral:lncRNA from 1 species
GAGCAUUACACAUCUGCAUACUUGCCAUGGCAUGAUCGUUAGGAGAGGAUAAUUUUCCACCCCUUGAUUUUGGGAUUGACUGGAUGGAGAAGGAUUGAGACAACACAAGGAACUCUCCUCCACAACACCCAAUCUUGAACCCUUAGAAGACUCAGCAGUUUCGGAUUGUAUCAAACCUACCAGUUGCUUGUGAUUUGAGCUCCAAAUAGUCUAACUGGACAAAGUGUCAGGAGACAUGGCUUCCUUCAGCUGGCAAGAUUAUUCAAAGGAGGGAGGAAGGAAGGGAGACAGAGAAAGAGAGAAG